GGACGAGGAGGAGGAAGAUGAGGAGAAACAGGAAGGAGAGGAGGGGAGAGGAGGAGGAGGAGGAAGUGGAUGAAGAGGAAGAUGAGGACGAGGAGGAGGAUCUGCUUUACAUCAGUAAACUCCCGACUGCACGCUUUUGAUUGACACUCGAGCCGACCAAUCCCUGCUGAGCUGAGACACUGACCUAUUGCUAUUGCACCUGUUACGAUAACGUGGAUGGAUGUACCCACAGAGACUGAUCCCAGGUCAGAUUAGACAUUUUACCAGCUAAUGGGUAGGGUUAGAAUCUGGUGAGGGCAAGCUGAUCCCAGGUCAGAUUAGACAUGUUACCACCUAAUGGGUAGGGUUAGGAUCUGGUGAGGGCAAGCUGAUCCCAGGUCAGAUUAGACAUUUUACCACCUAAUGGGAAGGGUUAGGAUCUGGUGAGGGCAAGCUGAUCCCAGGUCAGAUUAGACAUUUUACCACCUAAUGGGAAGGGUUAGGAUCUGGUGAGGGAAAGCUGAUCCCAGGUCAGAUUAUUGGUAUUAUACACCCGGACUCUUCGACUGUCGUCCCAGAGCUCUCCUGGUUGUCAUCCUGUCCCUCUGACCAGGGACUGAUUCAGACCUGGGACACCAGGUAUCUAGACUGUCUUGGCCAAUCACUGACAUUAAUCAAUUAAUCAAUUAACUGCUAUCUAGGGAGACGAGAGAGUUAAAGACCCGGAGACAUGGAGCUGGACAGUCUCCACAUUACAGCCUGAUACUGAGAGUCCCAAUAGUAUCCCCUUUCUCCUGAAGUGUACACUCGUUCACUACUUCCCACAAAUCUAAAACCAUUGGUUUGGUUAGAGGCUUUUUGUUGUUUUGUUAUACCAGUAAUUUCCUUUGAACUCAGUGAAAGGAAGUGUUGAAAGUGCCACCUUUCUGGAGGAAGGACGGACAGACGGACAGACAGACAGACAGACAGACAGACAGACAGACAGAAUAGGGACCUCUAGAGUUUCUGGUGAAUAAGAUAUAGAGACAGACAGACAGACAGACAGAAUAGGGACCUCUAGAGUUUCUGGUGAAUAAGAUAUAGAGACAGACAGACAGACAGACACAAUAGGGACCUCUAGAGUUUCUGGUGAAUAAGAUAUAGAGACAGACAGACAGACAGACACAAUAGGGACCUCUAGAGUUUCUGGUGAAUAAGAUAUAGAGUAAUAUAUUUAAUUCCCUUUUCACUCAAAAGUGACUGUAUAAUUACGUCUCCGUCUUUCCGUUUUUAGAGGUGAUUUCCAUUAUUUUCCCACAUCCUGAAUAUGCUAAUGAGUAACCAGGAAG